UAAUACGGAGGGUGCAAGCGUUAGUCGGAAUUACUGGGCGUAAAGCGCGCGUAGGCGGUUUGUUAAGUCGGAUGUGAAAGCCCUGGGCUCAACCUGGGAACUGCAUCCGAUACUGGCAGGCUAGAGUACGGUAGAGGGGGGUAGAAUUCCACGUGUAGCGGCGAAAUGCGUAGAGAUGUGGAGGAAUACCAGUGGCGAAGGCGGCCCCCUGGACUGAUACUGACGCUAAGGUGCGAAAGCGUGGGGAGCAAACAGGAUUAGAUACCCUGGUAGUCCACGCUGUAAACGAUGUCAACUAGCCGUUGGAAGGGUAAUCCUUUUAGUGGCGUAGCUAACGCGCUAAGUUGACCGCCUGGGGAGUACGGUCGCAAGAUUA
rnacentral:rRNA from 1 species